rnacentral:rRNA from 1 species
UACAGAGGUCCCAAGCGUUGUUCGGAUUCAUUGGGCGUAAAGGGUGCGUAGACUGUGAGGUAAGUCUGGUGUGAAAUCCCGGGGCUCAACCCCGGAACUGCACUGGAUACUGCUUUACUAGAGCACUGGAGAGGGAACUGGAAUUUACGGUGUAGCAGUGAAAUGCGUAGAUAUCUGGAGGAACACCGGUGGCGAAGGCGGCAUCCUGGACCGGUAUUGACGCUGAUGCGCGAAAGCCAGGGGAGCAAACGGG